UACGGGGGGGGCAAGCGUUGUUCGGAUUCACUGGGCGUAAAGGGUGCGUAGGCGGUUGGGUAAGUCUGAUGUGAAAUCUCACAGCUUAACUGUGAAACUGCAUUGGAUACUAUCCGGCUAGAGGAAUGGAGGGGAGACUGGAAUACUUGGUGUAGCAGUGAAAUGCGUAGAUAUCAAGUGGAACACCAGUGGCGAAGGCGAGUCUCUGGACAUUUCCUGACGCUGAGGCACGAAAGCCAGGGGAGCAAACGGG
rnacentral:rRNA from 1 species